rnacentral:rRNA from 1 species
AACCGGCGAUACCCGAAUGGGGAAACCCAGUGUGAUUCGUCACACUAUCAUUAACUGAAUCCAUAGGUUAAUGAGGCGAACCGGGGGAACUGAAACAUCUAAGUACCCCGAGGAAAAGAAAUCAACCGAGAUUCCCCCAGUAGCGGCGAGCGAACGGGGAGGAGCCCAGAGCCUGAAUCAGCAUGUGUGUUAGUGGAAGCGUCUGGAAAGGCGCGCGAUACAGGGUGACAGCCCCGUACACAAAAGCGCAUGUGCUGUGAGCUCGAUGAGUAGGGCGGGACACGUGGUAUCCUGUCUGAAUAUGGGGGGACCAUCCUCCAAGGCUAAAUACUCCUGACUGACCGAUAGUGAACCAGUACCGUGAGGGAAAGGCGAAAAGAACCCCGGCGAGGGGAGUGAAAAAGAACCUGAAACCGUGUACGUACAAGCAGUGGGAGCACCCUUUGGGUGUGACUGCGUACCUUUUGUAUAAUGGGUCAGCGACUUAUAUUCUGUAGCAAGGUUAACCGAAUAGGGGAGCCGGAGGGAAACCGAGUCUUAACCGGGCGUUAAGUUGCAGGGUAUAGACCCGAAACCCGGUGAUCUAGCCAUGGGCAGGUUGAAGGUUGGGUAACACUAACUGGAGGACCGAACCGACUAAUGUUGAAAAAUUAGCGGAUGACCUGUGGCUGGGGGUGAAAGGCCAAUCAAACCGGGAGAUAGCUGGUUCUCCCCGAAAGCUAUUUAGGUAGCGCCUCGUGAAUUCAUCUCCGGGGGUAGAGCACUGUUUCGGCUAGGGGGCCAUCCCGGCUUACCAACCCGAUGCAAACUGCGAAUACCGGAGAAUGUUAUCACGGGAGACACACGGCGGGUGCUAACGUCCGUCGUGAAGAGGGAAACAACCCAGACCGCCAGCUAAGGUCCCAAAGUCAUGGUUAAGUGGGAAACGAUGUGGGAAGGCCCAGACAGCCAGGAUGUUGGCUUAGAAGCAGCCAUCAUUUAAAGAAAGCGUAAUAGCUCACUGGUCGAGUCGGCCUGCGCGGAAGAUGUAACGGGGCUAAACCAUGCACCGAAGCUGCGGCAGCGACACUGUGUGUUGUUG